rnacentral:rRNA from 1 species
UACGGAAGGGGCUACCGUUGUUCGGAAUUACUGGGCGUAAAGAGCGCGUAGGCGGCUUACCAAGUUGGGGGUGAAAUCCCGGAGCUCAACUCCGGAACUGCCUUCAAAACUGGUAGGCUCGAGUCCGGAAGAGGGGCGUGGAAUUCCCAGUGUAGAGGUGAAAUUCGUAGAUAUUGGGAAGAACACCGGUGGCGAAGGCGGCGCCCUGGUCCGGUACUGACGCCGAGGCGCGAAAGCGUGGGGAGAAAACAGG